UACGUAGGGUGCAAGCGUUACGCGCAAUUAUUGGGCGUAAAGCGUGCGCAGGCGGUUUUGUAAGUCUGAUGUGAAAUCCCCGGGCUCAACCUGGGAAUUGCAUUGGAGACUGCAAGGCUUGAAUCUGGCAGAGGGGGGUAGAAUUCCACGUGUAGCAGUGAAAUGCGUAGAGAUGUGGAGGAACACCGAUGGCGAAGGCAGCCCCCUGGGUCAAGAUUGACGCUCAUGCACGAAAGCGUGGGGAGCAAACAGG
rnacentral:rRNA from 1 species